UACGUAGGGCGCAAGCGUUGUCCGGAAUUAUUGGGCGUAAAGAGCUCGUAGGCGGCCUGUUGCGUCCGCUGUGAAAUCCCGGGGCUUAACCCCGGGCUUGCAGUGGAUACGGGCAGGCUGGAGGCAGGUAGGGGAGACUGGAAUUCCUGGUGUAGCGGUGAAAUGCGCAGAUAUCAGGAGGAACACCGGUGGCGAAGGCGGGUCUCUGGGCCGUAACUGACGCUGAGGAGCGAAAGCGUGGGGAGCGAACAGG
rnacentral:rRNA from 1 species